rnacentral:rRNA from 1 species
UACGUAGGGACCAAGCGUUGUUCGGAUUUACUGGGCGUAAAGGGCGCGUAGGCGGCUUAACAAGUCACUUGUGAAAUCUCCGGGCUUAACUCGGAACGGCCAAGUGAAACUGUCAAGCUAGAGUGCAGAAGGGGCAAUCGGAAUUCUUGGUGUAGCGGUGAAAUGCGUAGAUAUCAAGAGGAACACCGGUGGCGAAGGCGGCAUCCUGGACCGAGACUGACACUGAGGAGCGAAAGCCAGGGGAGCAAACGGG